rnacentral:lncRNA from 1 species
CUUAGAGGAAGAAUUGAAAGGGCAAGCAUUGAAUUUGAAGCACUAGUGGCAGCCUUCCAUCAGUCUCAGGGAGAUCAGUUCAGAACACUGCUAGAUUCAAUUAAUGCAUUUAUAGAUGCAGCUGCUAGGGCUUAUGAGCAACGUCGCCAAUGAGGGACAUUUUGUAGACAUCUAGGGUUCAUCUGUUUUUGUAAAACCCUAGGCUCAUUUUGACACUUCUUUUGUAUUAGGAAUCAAUACUUGUAAUGAUUUCUUCUUUUUUUUUAACCUUGUAAUGCCUUCAAAUGAUUGCAAUGACAUAUGAAUGACAUACAAUUUCUUUUGAAAUCUUGUGUUUGUUUCAAAUCCUGUGGAAUCAAACCUUGUGUAUGUGAUUCUGUGUUGUGCCAUAAAAAUCUCAUAACAUACCUUAAGUGUUCAAAUUUGACGCAAUUUAUCAAUGCAUAUAAAACAGGGGGAGCACAUCUUGUGAUAACUAUUUUAAACAAAAAGAGGAGUCUGAAAUGAAUUCCAAAAUAAAGGGGGAGUGAAAUGAAUGCUGAAUUCCUUAAUAAAAAAAACUUGAAUAUCCUUGAGUGGUUCAUGGCUGAAUUCUACUAGGAAUUGAGUUUUAAGUACCUAAGGAUAAUUUGUCUCCUUCAUUGUUGAUGACAAAAAGGGGGAGUAGAACCAAUAUGGAUAUUGGAUAUAUUGGAAUGCAAAAUUUAUGGAGUGUAUUGAGUAGAUAUAUAUAUAUAUGGAGUAUAUGGAGUAGAACCUAAAUAUGGAAUGCAAAAUUUACACUCAUACUUAAAAAAUUGAAUUAGAAAAAGAUAAAAUUGAAGAAUAUUGGCUUUAAGAUAAUUGCCCUUUUGGAAAAGAAAGGGGGAGUCAAAAAGAACUUAGCCUUCAAUUGUCUUUAGCAUCAAUAUUUCAUUAAUUUAAAUUUUAACUUAAUUCAAAUUCAGUUGAUAUGCUAAAAUUGCUUAAGAGCUAUUAAGAUCAAUCUUAUGCAUAAGGAUAGAACUGAAAGUUGACUAUUUUGAAUUAUGCACACUGUAUCUAGCUCAAAUCAAAACAUUAUA